rnacentral:rRNA from 1 species
AGUUGUUAUAUAGAGUCUGGCCUGCCCACUGACAUACGUUAAAGGGCCGCGGUAUUUUGACCGUGCGAAGGUAGCAUAAUCAUUAGUCUUUUAAUUGGAGGCUUGUAUGAAUGGUUGGACAAAAAAUAAGCUGUCUCUGUUUUAUUUCUUGAAUUUAACUUUUAAGUGAAAAGGCUUAAAUGUUCUAGGGGGACGAUAAGACCCUAUAAAGCUUUACAGUGUGCUAUAAGUUAUAAAUUGUUAGUAUAAACUUGGUUUGGUUAGUAGCUGUUUCGUUGGGGCGACGAAAAUAUAAUUGAUAGUAACUGUUUUUCUUUUAUAAUAACAAUAAAUUUUUGGUAGAAAUUGAUCCUUUAUUAAAGAUUAAAAGAUUAAGUUACUUUAGGGAUAACAGCGUAAUCUUCUUUGAGAGUUCAUAUCGACAAGAAGGGUUGCGACCUCGAUGUUGAAUUAAGGUUUCCUUGUGGUGUAGCAGUUUCAUGGGAGGGUCUGUUCGACCUUUA